GAAGUCAAAGUCCUUCCCUCUGUGUGUGGACUUCAGUGGAACUCUCAGGUCACAGAGAUUCAGGGUGGUCAGAGGCGGUUUGAUGUUUUGGGGAGAAAGAACAGCCGUGAAGGAUUCUGUGAUGCAGGAGAAGGUGGGAGGCCUCAGGACAGAAUCAGCAGGUCACCAUGCUUUCCUGCGUCAUCCACCUGUGGGCCUCUAAUGUGUUUCUAUGAAGUUUGCAUUAAAGUUUCAGCCACUAUUUUUCAGAAACAUGGUCAACCUCUCCUUCCCUCCUCUAUCUGCUGAUAGAGUUCUACAGAAAACAAGGGAAUGACUUGAGGAGGACUAAGCCAGUGGAUCACAAACAUCCUGGAGAGCAGUGACUCUGUGAUUCCAUCACAAGAAUAUGAAGGACUGAGAAGAUCUCCAGCUCUGCCCAUUGCACCUUCCCAUUGAGAAGCAGCAUGGCACCCUGGUGGCAGGGGCUGAUACUCAGCCGGGCCAGGGUGCUCUCCUGUUAACCAUAACCAAGCUCACAGGACAUGGGAUGAGCCCACUGUGUGACACAGGGAGCGGGACACAGUCUGUUAAGUCUUGCACAGCCAUGCUCUGCCACGCAGGCAGGCCUUUCCUUGGCCUCCCUCUCCCUGUUCGUGCUCAUGUGAACAUCCACCUACGUGGAUAGACUGGGCUUUGGUUCAUUAUUGCUCUGUGAAUUCCUCGAACUUCCGCAUCUGCCCAACCUCCCCCACCCCAUUGUUUUCAUUGUGUUUCACCAAAUGGAAAUUCUAGAGUAAGCAUGUGAGUCCUCUCCCAAACUUGUUCACUGUUGAGAGUGCUAAAAUGCUAACCCCAGAUGCUAACUGAGGGGUAGGGUUACCUUAUCUUUAGAGCACUGCGAAUUGUAUGUUAAGUGGAACUUAAUGAAAAAAUAGUUAAUUGACCAACAUGAAUAUCCCCUGAACAGAAUCUCCCCUGAACAGAAUCCUACAAUGAAACUAAGGGAGAUAAAUAAAGCUGUUUACCUGAAAGCUCUCUCUAAUCAAGAUCCUUUGAAAUUUAUAAAACAUGGUCAAUAUUUGCACUGGACUUUGUAAAAAUAAAGCUUGAUAAGAGAAGAGUUUGAAGUGAAAUGCUGCCACUUUCUAUGCAAUAUUUGAUUUAAAUUUAAUUCCUAGAAACCUCAGAUGAAUGUGGUUCAUGUAUCAAAGCACUCAGCAUUAUUUAUCGCGGCCUUAAAUACACAGUGAGCUUACAUGUGAAUGAAUACAUAUAUUAUGUAUCUCUCUCUAUAUAUAUACUAUAUAGAUAAUAUAGUAUAUAUAUAUAUAUAGUGUAUAUAUACACUAUAUAUAUCGUGUAUACAUAUACUAUCUAUAUAGUAUAUAUGUAUAUGGUAUAUAUAUCUAUCUAUAGAUAGAUAGAUAGAUAUACUUAAAAAAACCCCAUUCCCUUAAGAGCAGUUAAGGGACACCAUAUAUCAAAUUUCUUGGCACGUUGUGAAUAUUAAUAUCCCCAAAGUGUCAAUGUCAAAUGAUUUGACUUGAAAUCACUAAGCUUGGUAAUCUCACUAUUUUUAAACAAGGCCUAACAUCUUUUAAUCUUGAAUACCAGCAAGUUCUCAGACUUCAGUUGUUUAUUUUCUCUUUUCUUUCCUUUAAAAAAUUCUGACAAGCUCUUUUCCUUGACACAAAGAAAGCGUAUAAAUUUUAUUUUGGUUUGAACAACAGAAAUUUGCCUCUCAGAAUUCUGGAGAUUGGAAAGUCUAAGGACUAAGCUGCUGGCCAAUUUAGUUCUUAGUGAGGACUCUCUUCCUGGCUUGUAGAUGGCUGCCUUCUCACUGCAUCCUCAGAGAGAGAGAGAGAGAGGGCUCUUGUGUCUCUUCCUUUCUCAUAAAGCGUCAGCUCUCUUGUAUUAGGGUCCCACCCAUAAUUACCCCCUUAUAUGCCCCAUCUACAAAUAGAGUCACAUUGUGGGUUAGAGCUUGGCAGUGAAUAAUUAUGGAGGUUAUUGUUGGCUUUAGAAUUUCGUGGUAGAAACAAUAAAUUGCCUUUGUGUUUA
rnacentral:lncRNA from 1 species